ACGAACGCUGGCGGCGUGCCUAAUACAUGCAAGUAGAACGCUGAAGAGAGGAGCUUGCUCUUCUUGGAUGAGUUGCGAACGGGUGAGUAACGCGUAGGUAACCUGCCUUGUAGCGGGGGAUAACUAUUGGAAACGAUAGCUAAUACCGCAUAACAAUGGAUGACACAUGUCAUUUAUUUGAAAGGGGCAAUUGCUCCACUACAAGAUGGACCUGCGUUGUAUUAGCUAGUAGGUGAGGUAAUGGCUCACCUAGGCGACGAUACAUAGCCGACCUGAGAGGGUGAUCGGCCACACUGGGACUGAGACACGGCCCAGACUCCUACGGGAGGCAGCAGUAGGGAAUCUUCGGCAAUGGGGGCAACCCUGACCGAGCAACGCCGCGUGAGUGAAGAAGGUUUUCGGAUCGUAAAGCUCUGUUGUAAGUCAAGAACGGGUGUGAGAGUGGAAAGUCCACACUGUGACGGUAGCUUACCAGAAAGGGACGGCUAACUACGUG
rnacentral:rRNA from 1 species